GCCCCUAUAGUGUAGUGGAUAUCAUCGGAGCUUGCGGAGCUUCGGACCCGAGUUCAAUUCUCGGUAGGGGCA
rnacentral:tRNA from 1 species